rnacentral:rRNA from 1 species
AAGCGCGGUAACGCGCUGAGCUGACCAGUACUAAUCGCUCGAUCGGCUUGAUCGCUCUCAUGAU